UACGGAGGGGGCGAGCGUUAUUCGGAAUUAUUGGGCGUAAAGGGCGCGUAGGCGGCCAAGUAAGUCAAAGGUGAAAUCCCUCGGCUCAACCGAGGAAUUGCCUUUGAAACUGCGUGGCUUGAGGCCGGGAGGGGGUAGCGGAAUUCCCAGUGUAGCGGUGAAAUGCGUAGAUACUGGGAGGAACACCAGUGGCGAAGGCGGCUACCUGGACCGGUACUGACGCUGAGGUGCGAAAGCGUGGGGAGCAAACAGG
rnacentral:rRNA from 1 species